UGAAUUGUUGAAGUUGGCAACAUAAGAAUCGACAACGUUGUUGCAACGUUUCCACUCGUAACGAAUCUACAUACACAAAUUUAUAACGUUGUCACAACGUUGAUAGUGGUCAUCUUUGCGUAUCUACUAAAAGGUCAUAACAUUGUUUGUCUUUCAAAGUUUGAAAUAAAUAUAUUAUUUCUUAAAAGAGUAUUUUUCAAUCAUUUAAAUUACUUUUAAUAUUUAAUUUUAGUUUUAUGUUAGUUUGAUACUGUUAAACUAUACACUAAAAUGUAAGUUUAGUUGCAAACUGACUUCAAAAUUCCGUGUUUGAUUGUUUAUUUCUUUUGUCGUCGUUUUAUGCUCGUUCAACAUUUUGGAAUUUCACUUGGUUUUAUCGUCGGAUUUUCUUGAAAAUAUGGAGGUACAGUUUCUUGGUGAUAUUGGUGGACAGGGCAUUUUUUCAUGUGUCAACGCAGUGCUCAGGAGAUUGAUGACAAAUUCUGCCGCAUCCCAAUACAGCUGGAGUGGGUUCAAAGGAAAGAAAACAUUUAUAAAUUUAAGGCUGUCACAAGUUGUGCUACAUGUACGGUUACAUGUGCCAGGGGCUAUUGAAACUGAAGUGUCAGAGCAGAUACAAGCUUGGUUGAAGCAUGCCAAAACAAGACUUGUCAGAACAUCACAGAAGUUGCCAGUUUCUGACCAGUGUUGAAAAAAGAAGCAUAAGAACUUAAGUGAACUACUUUGUAAUGAAUUUUACCAGGACAUGAAUUAUUGUGCCAAAUGAAUGUUUAAAAAUACCUUGCAUAUAAUACUUUGAUACUCUACUUUGAAAACUAUAAAAUACUUUGUAGAAAUAUUGCAGAAUUAAACUUUUACUUACACUUA